AUGGAAAGAAGAGCUCUGUUCCUUCCUGUGACAGUAAAAGAACUUCCUGGUGUGUGGAUUUGUUCCACGAUGGUCUGCCAGAGAAAUUUGUCUGUCUUUUCAAAACUGAGUGGUGCAAAAAAGAAGCCAUUACAGAUCCUGGUAACUGAAGCAGUGCAAACCCAUGGACUGUCCUUUGCUGCAUGUUUAGAGUGUGAACUUCCAGUCCAUCUGCCCAUUCAGUCACCUGCAAACCCACCAGGGACACAGCUGGUACAAACAAAAGCUAAGGGUGUUUUCUUGAAUUGAUUACAACCUGGUGGAGCUGCUGGGAGAAGAAAAUUCAGACUCGGUUUUCAGUGGCCCCCAGGGACGAGGUUUGUGCAGCUCCCUGGACUCACAAGGAAAGGCGAAGUUCCUAUGAAACCAGCAGCCUCACGGAGUCUGGGGUUACAGCUGUACUGUCUAAGUGCAACCUCUGGGAGGUGCCUUUCUCUGCCUCCUGUGAGUUUGUAGCUUGUGACCACAAGCCGCAUAUUCCUGUAUGGUUUAGAAACGCAUCUGAAACCCAUUUGGAAGAUCAGAUCUGUG
rnacentral:lncRNA from 13 species